rnacentral:piRNA from 1 species
UAAGAAAGGUGGAAAAAGCCUUAGAGUCC